CAGAAGAAAAGGUAAAGACAAGGCAAAGGGCAAGGAAAGCACAAGGAGAAAUAAAAGGCAGAAAUCAAUGCUGGAGGAGGGUUUCUCCAAUGAAGAAUCAGAGG